rnacentral:rRNA from 1 species
GAUGAACGCUGGCGGCGUGCCUAACACAUGCAAGUCGAACGGAGAUAACCUCUGUCAAAGCUUCGGCAGAGACUUGGUUAUCUUAGUGGCGGACGGGUGAGUAACGCGUGGGUAACCUGCCGUAUACAGGGGGAUAACACUUAGAAAUAGGUGCUAAUACCGCAUAAGCGCACAGCUUCGCAUGGAGCAGUGUGAAAAGCAUUGACGGUAUACGAUGGACCCGCGUCUGAUUAGAUAGUUGGUGAGGUAACGGCUCACCAAGUCGACGAUCAGUAGCCGGCCUGAGAGGGUGAACGGCCACAUUGGGACUGAGACACGGCCCAA